rnacentral:rRNA from 1 species
UACGAGGGGGGCAAGCGUUGUUCGGAAUUAUUGGGCGUAAAGGGCGCGUAGGCGGUUUGACAAGUCUGAUGUGAAAUCUAUGGGCUCAACCCAUAGCCUGCAUUAGAAACUGUCGGGCUUGAGUAUGGGAGAGGUGAGUGGAAUUUCCGGUGUAGCGGUGAAAUGCGUAGAUAUCGGAAGGAACACCUGUGGCGAAAGCGGCUCACUGGACCAUAACUGACGCUGAGACGCGAAAGCGUGGGGAGCGAACAGG